CCCGGACCAAGGAGAACUUCUAGGGGGGGAGACGACACGGAGCCCGGGCCGGAAACCAACAACGACCGAAGAAUAGUUUCCAAUAAGCUACACUUGCAAAAUAGCUAGCCUUUGGAUUCAUAUCUAAGGUCUGAUGUGUGGGACCGGCUCGGGACACCGAACCCAGCCGUCAGUGGGCGAAUAUCUGCAAGUGUGCAUAGCUACACAGCCGCAAGUGGGAGGGCCUUGUUCGUUCCCACAUCUGAUUGGUUAACCGGCUACCUUUAAAUAGAAACCCAAACAGCGUGACAAGAUCUGAGGCGUGGAAGAACCAAGCUAAGAUUCACGUGCCACUUGGAUGCCCGACAUGGCAGAGAUCCGGCAGGUUCAUGAGUCUGUGAGGCAUUUGGACAAUGUACUUGAGGUGUACCUCUGUAAGAAGUGCCCUAAUUAUCAUUGCCCUCUUUGCCCCGCUGAAAGAGUACAAUUCAAGGCUGUGCACGAGGCAGUGGGACAUCUCCAGAAUCAUUUAACAUGGACAGUUGUUCAUGGGUGUAAGUUAUUACUAUCAUAUGCCGAGAUGUUUUGUUUUGAGAUAUUGUGUAACUCGUUCAUUAGUGCCUUUCUUCAACAUUUAAAAUGGUUAUUAAAAAAAAAAAAAUGCAAAUAUGCUCAAAAGUGUAGCAUAAGACUUGUUUAUGUGCUUGUGCAUAUUGUUAAAAAAAUAUAAUAAAAUUGCAAAGUAUGUUAACAUUAGCUCUGAUAUUGUUAUUUGUGUUUACAUUGUACGUGAUAUUCCUCCUUGACCUUUUUCAGGUUUCAAAGUGUAUAAAUGUCACCUAAGCUGCCAUGAUAAACCCCAUUAUCACUGUCACAGUUGCCACAAAUUCAUUGUUAGAAGGUGUGACUACACCAGUCACAUUAAGAGGCAUCCUAGUCCAGCCGCCAAGCACCCUGGCUCACCUGAAAAGCCCUCUGCCUCAGCUGUUGUGCCCCCCAGUCCUUCUGUUGGACCCCCUGGUCCUGCGGUUGUACCCCCCAACCCUUCUAUGGGCCCCCCUCACCCGCACCCAAGACCUGCUCCGUCUGGCUUGGCAGCUGCCAGGGGGAAGUUUAAGGUGGAGUACCGUCCUAAAUUUGAUGUAAGGCUGUACACCGAAAAACAGUACAGUAUGGUCAAACAGUUUAAACCUCACAAUUUAUGUAUUACAGACAUUUUUUUCAAAGUACUCCUCGGACACGGUUAUCUAAUGUUCUACCAGUAUGAGCUGGAAUUACAUGUGUUAUUUUUUACUUAUUGUAUGUUACUUUGUAUGUACAACUUGCCUUUAUAACAUAUUUAUGGCUGUGCCUGGGACAGAUAUUUUGAAAUUCUAUAGAAUUAGGAAAUAAAUUAUUGCAGCAUAGUUUGGUAACGUGGCCAGAGAUGCUUAAUAGAAGUUAAACUUGCACUAAGUAAAAUUUCGAAAAGUAUAAUGCGCAGAUCUUGGUAGUCUCAUCCAGGUUAUUGGUAGUGGACUCUUGGAUUUUCUGACUAUACUGUAGGUUAUUAAAUGUUUCCAUGUUGCCACAAGCUGUGCCGCAAAAAGAUAAACUAAUUCUACCAUUUCUGUAGGUUCAUGACUCUGUGAGGCAUUUGGACAAUGCACUUGAGGUGUACCUCUGUAAGAAGUGCCCUAAUUAUCAUUGCCCUCUUUGCCCCACUGAAAGAGUACAAUUCAAAGCUGCGCACGAGGCAGUGGGACACCUCCAGAAUCAUUUAACAUGGACAGUUGUUCAUGGGUGUUACAAAGUGUAUAAAUGUCACCACAGCUGCCAUGAUAAACCCCAUUAUCACUGUCAGAGUUGCCACAAAUGCAUUGUUAGAAGGUGUGACUACAGCAGUCACAUUAAGAGGCAUCACCGCCCAGCUGCCAAGAGCCACGUCUCGCCUGAGGAGCGCCCUGCCUCAGCCGUUGUGCCCCCCACUCUUGGUCCCCCUGGUCCUCCUAUUGGACCUCCAGACCCUUCUAUUAAGCCCCCUGCCUCUUCUGAUGGACCCUAUGGUUCUCCCAUUGAUCCCCCGGCCCCUUCGGUUGUGCCCCCCGGUUCUUCUGUCGGACCCCCCGACCUGCGCCCCAGACCUGCUGUAUCUUGCCUCGUAGCUGCCAGGGGGAAGUUGAAGGUGCUGCACUGCCCUGAAUGUGACUUACGGCUCUACGCCAAAAACCUGAAGACACAUCUUGUCAGGAGGCACACUGCUCCCGGCGUCGAUGUUGCUUCUUCAAACCAGCUUGCCAGCCAGUGUGAUGCCGGCAGAAAUGGAGUUGAAACCACAAUAUUAUUAAAUACCUGAUACGUCAAUGUCAAAGGGUGUGCAUUCUUUUUAGGUGUUACACCUCUUCCUUUAUGUGUAUAGACUUACAGUGGAAUAUUUGUGCAGAUAAAUUUACAUCUCUGUGUACUGGUGUGAAUUGACUUUAAUCAGCUAAAAUGAAAAUAUUAUUCUGUGGGUCUUAACUGUUUUAGUUAAGUUAUACAUGCCUGUGUGUAUUAAAAGCA